GGCCGGGUCUUCAACAGAGCGAACGAAGGGAGAUCUGUUUCCCCAAGGGUCCGGGACCAGGCUGCAAAGUCCAAAAUCUGGAUCUCAAAGAGCCAGUGAAGUCAGAGAACUUGUGUUUCUGUCCUGAGCAGUCCAGGCUGGAAGCUCCCUAGUUGGCUUGCAGGAUUCUGAGGUAGCUCCUCCAGUACAUCAGCUGCUACGACCAGGUGCCUGGAACACAAGUGCCACCUCUGCUGGCCCCACUCUGGACUUUUUGGUUGGAAUCAGUUCUGAAAUGGCAGGGGACUGGCAUCAGCCAGUCCUCAGAAGACAUUCCUGAGCACUGAGUUGUCGUUACUGAAUGAAGAUAAUGUCACUGGAUUUGCUCAGGGCUCUCAAAGCAAGAUACACAGUGUCAUCAGCGGGCUCUGGAAGGUGGGCAGCGCUGCCUCAUUGUGGAAGUCCUCCCGAGGCUCUCUUCCCUGUUUGCUAUUGAGCUGUUCUCCCCUCUUCUGGCCCCUGGACCUCUCCAUAUUUCUCAAUCCCAUCUGCUUUAGUAGCUAUGGAAAUUCUGUGUGCAUUUGCUGUCUUCUUGCCGAUACGUUUUCCUUCUCUGUCACUUUCACUUUUCAUUUUCAAAUGAAAAUAAAAGUAUUUGUUUUGUGGGGUGUGGGGAUCUAGGGGCAUGUGUGUCGUGGUGCAUAUGUGGAGGUCAGAGCAACUGGCAGGGUCAGUUCUUUCCUUCUACCAUGUGCGUCCCAGGGGGCGGAUUGAACUCCGGUUGUCAAACUUGACAGCAAGUGCUAUCUCACUGACCCUCUUUCAAGUUUUUGUUUUAAGAAAAUGUCUCUUUCUGAAGCUCGGGCAUGCCUUGAACUCUGGUGAUCCCCCUGCCUCAGCCUCUUUAGUUCUGGGAUUUUAGGCAUGGGCCACUACACUCAGUUCUGUAUCGUUUUCAUACCAAAAUGAUAGCUGCUUGGAUUCUGUCUCCCACUUCUUCCCACACACCACUCCCCCAAUGCUGGAUCAGGUUUCUGUCUCUGAAGCUGGACUGCAGUCACCUCUUCUUGCGCUGAUCAGCCCUGUUCACAUUAAUAAAGCUUCUGGUCUUCC
ensembl:lincRNA 3300002P13Rik RIKEN cDNA 3300002P13 gene